UACGAAGGGGGCGAGCGUUGUUCGGAAUUACUGGGCGUAAAGGGCGCGUAGGCGGCGAACCAAGUCAGAUGUGAAAGUCCUGGGCUUAACCUGGGGGACUGCAUUUGAUACUGGUUUGCUUGAAUUCGGGAGAGGAUAGCGGAAUUCCCAGUGUAGAGGUGAAAUUCGUAGAUAUUGGGAAGAACACCGGUGGCGAAGGCGGCUAUCUGGACCGACAUUGACGCUGAGGCGCGAAAGCGUGGGGAGCAAACAGG
rnacentral:rRNA from 1 species